rnacentral:rRNA from 1 species
AUUGAACGCUGGCGGCAGGCUUAACACAUGCAAGUCGAGCGAGCGGCGGACGGGUGAGUAAUGUCUGGGAAACUGCCCGAUAGAGGGGGAUAACUACUGGCAACGGUAGCUAAUACCGCAUACUAUCGGAUGAACCCAUAUGGGAUUAGCUAGUAGGUGAGGUAAUGGCUCACCUAGGCGACGAUCCCUAGCUGGGCUGAGAGGAUGAUCAGCAACAGUGGGACUGAGACACGGCCCAGACGCCUACGGGAGGCAGCAGUGGGGAAUAUUGCACAAUGGGCGCAAGCCUGAUGCAGCCAUGCCGCGGGUGUGAAGAAGGCCUUCGGGUUGUAAAGCACUUUCAGCUAGGAGGCGUUACUCGCAGAAGAAGCACCGGCUAACUCCGUGCCAGCAGCCGCGGUAAUAC